rnacentral:lncRNA from 1 species
AAAAAUCUUCAGGCACAAUUCAAAGCAGUCUUUUAAAAGCUAACAGGAAGAUACAAAGUAAUGAUGACCAUUAUACAUGUAUUUGUGCUAGUGUGUUUAUUUUUAACCUUUGGAAUAAAAGUGUAUUUCAUGCACUCUCAUACCACGAUUUCUUAUGUAUUGUAUGAGGGCUAUUUUCUCCUAUAACAUAUGAGAUAGUAGAAACUUUACAGGCUCUUGGGAAUUCUUAUCAUCAGGAGUUAUAGAAAACAAAAACAAAACAAAAAACCCACAGAUGCACUAGCACUACUUAGCACUUUUUCAAGAGCAAGGGAAUGCAAACACUGUUUUCACAGGUUUGUGUAACAAAGAAACACAAAAUCAAUAAAAAUAGCAUUAUUAGUUCUUUUGGUUUACUCCCGCAUCAAUCAAAAGAAUGCUUUCAGAAGUGAACUUUUUUUUUUUCCUUUUUUUAAAACAAUUUCCACAUGUGUAUGCUUUACAGUACAGUGGUUAUACUCAAAUUUUCACAAUAUCCAUAAAUCAAAAUACUGAGAUCACUACAUUUACCAUGAGCUAACAGACAUCCACUGAUAAAUCUUAGUGUCAGUUUAAAAAGAUGCCUUCUUUGAACUGAAGUACAAUAAGGCUUUACUGGUUACAAGUUCUUAUCAAAGAUUUCCCAUCACGGCAUCUUUUUCUUUUCCUCCUUUUACUUUUUUUCUUGGUCUUUUUCUGCAUCCAGAAGUGCUGAGCGGAUUCCUAAUUUCUUUAGCUCUUCUACGAGAUCUCCAUUCUGAUGCAUCUGGAGGAGGAUAUCACAGCCACCAACGAAUUCACCAUUGAGGUAUACUUGUGGGAUGGUAGGCCAGUUGGAGUAGUUUUUUAUUCCUUGCCGGAGGUCGGGGUCCUGCAGGACGUCGUGGGCGCGGUAGUCCUCCACGCCGUGCAGCCGCAGGAUCUGCACGACGGCGUUGCUGAAGCCGCAGAGGGGCUGCGCCGGACUGCCCUUCAUAAACACCACCACCGGGUGCUCCCGCACCAGUCGUUCCACCGCUUCCCGCGACCCCGAGCCGCCGCCAUCGGCCCCACCACUGCCUCCAGCGCUGCCGGAGGCCGCCUCGCUCAAGUGUCGCCGCCCGGGUCGGCCCCGCGCCGCCCAGACACCCAAGCGCAGGGCCGCACGCAAAGACCCACUCAUCCUGCCCCGGCCACCCACCCAGGUCCACUGCCAGCCCCCACCCCGCACCGCCGGUCCCGAGCCAGCGCUGACAGCCUAUUGGCCGAGGGCACGAAAGGUCGCCAGGAGCUUCUCCUUCGCAUAGGUGUAACGAGAUGCCGAUCAAUGCUAACAGCCAAUAGCGUGAAGGCGUUGCGAGCUUUGUCCCUCCUAUCAACACCCUGAGG